GAUGAACGCUGGCGGCGUGCCUAAUACAUGCAAGUCGAGCGAACAGACGAGGAGCUUGCUCCUCUGACGUUAGCGGCGGACGGGUGAGUAACACGUGGAUAACCUACCUAUAAGACUGGGAUAACUUCGGGAAACCGGAGCUAAUACCGGAUAAUAUAUUGAACCGCAUGGUUCAAUAGUGAAAGACGGUUUUGCUGUCACUUAUAGAUGGAUCCGCGCCGCAUUAGCUAGUUGGUAAGGUAACGGCUUACCAAGGCGACGAUGCGUAGCCGACCUGAGAGGGUGAUCGGCCACACUGGAACUGAGACACGGUCCAGACCCCUACGGGAGGCAGCAGUAGGGAAUCUUCCGCAAUGGGCGAAAGCCUGACAGAGCAACGCCGCGUGAGUGAUGAAGGUCUUCGGAUCGUAAAACUCUGUUAUUAGGGAAGAACAAAUGUGUAAGUAACUAUGCACGUCUUGACGGUACCUAAUCAGAAAGCCACGGCUAACUACGUG
rnacentral:rRNA from 1 species